rnacentral:rRNA from 1 species
AGAACCUGAAACCGUGUACGUACAAGCAGUGGGAGCACCCUUUGGGGUGUGACUGCGUACCUUUUGUAUAAUGGGUCAGCGACUUAUAUUCUGUAGCAAGGUUAACCGUAUAGGGGAGCCGGAGGGAAACCGAGUCUUAACCGGGCGUUAAGUUGCAGGGUAUAGACCCGAAACCCGGUGAUCUAGCCAUGGGCAGGUUGAAGGUUGGGUAACACUAACUGGAGGACCGAACCGACUAAUGUUGAAAAAUUAGCGGAUGACCUGUGGCUGGGGGUGAAAGGCCAAUCAAACCGGGAGAUAGCUGGUUCUCCCCGAAAGCUAUUUAGGUAGCGCCUCGUGAAUUCAUCUCCGGGGGUAGAGCACUGUUUCGGCUAGGGGGCCAUCCCGGCUUACCAACCCGAUGCAAACUGCGAAUACCGGAGAAUGUUAUCACGGGAGACACACGGCGGGUGCUAACGUCCGUCGUGAAGAGGGAAACAACCCAGACCGCCAGCUAAGGUCCCAAAGUCAUGGUUAAGUGGGAAACGAUGUGGGAAGGCCCAGACAGCCAGGAUGUUGGCUUAGAAGCAGCCAUCAUUUAAAGAAAGCGUAAUAGCUCACUGGUCGAGUCGGCCUGCGCGGAAGAUGUAACGGGGCUAAACCAUGCACCGAAGCUGCGGCAGCGACACUCAGGUGUUGUUGGGUAGGGGAGCGUUCUGUAAGCCUGCGAAGGUGUGUCGUGAGGCAUGCUGGAGGUAUCAGAAGUGCGAAUGCUGACAUAAGUAACGAUAAAGCGGGUGAAAAGCCCGCUCGCCGGAAGACCAAGGGUUCCUGUCCAACGUUAAUCGG